rnacentral:rRNA from 1 species
GCAGCAGUGAGGAAUAUUGCGCAAUGGGGGCAACCCUGACGCAGCCAUGCCACGUGAGUGAAGAAGGCCUUCGGGUUGUAAAGCUCUUUCAGCUGUGAGGAUGAUGACAGUAGCAGCAGAAGAAGUCCCGGCUAACUUCGUGCCAGCAGCCGCGGUAAUACGAAGGGGGCAAGCGUUGUUCGGAAUUACUGGGCGUAAAGAGCGUGUAGGCGGUUCGUUAAGUCAGAGGUGAAAUCCCGGGGCUCAACCCCGGGGCUGCCUUUGAAACUGGCGGACUAGAGUCCGGGAGAGGAUGGCAGAAUUCCCAGUGUAGAGGUGAAAUUCGUAGAUAUUGGGAAGAAUACCGGUGGCGAAGGCGGCCAUCUGGUCCGGUACUGACGCUGAGACGCGAAAGCGUGGGGAGCAAACAGGAUUAGAUACCCUGGUAGUCCACGCCGUAAACGAUGUGUGCUAGUUGUCGGG